CCUACGGGAGGCAGCAGUGAGGAAUAUUGGUCAAUGGACGAGAGUCUGAACCAGCCAAGUAGCGUGAAGGAUGACUGCCCUAUGGGUUGUAAACUUCUUUUAUAUGGGAAUAAAAUGUUCCACGUGUGGGAUUUUGUAUGUACCCUAUGAAUAAGGAUCGGCUAACUCCGUGCCAGCAGCCGCGGUAAUACGGAGGAUCCGAGCGUUAUCCGGAUUUAUUGGGUUUAAAGGGAGCGUAGGUGGAUUGUUAAGUCAGUUGUGAAAGUUUGCGGCUCAACCGUAAAAUUGCAGUUGAAACUGGCAGUCUGGAGUACAGUAGAGGUGGGCGGAAUUCGUGGUGUAGCGGUGAAAUGCUUAGAUAUCACGAAGAACUCCGAUUGCGAAGGCAGCUCACUGGACUGCAACUGACACUGAGGCUCGAAAGUGUGGGUAUCAAACAGGAUUAGAUACCCCAGUAGUC
rnacentral:rRNA from 1 species